AUUGAACGCUGGCGGCAGGCUUAACACAUGCAAGUCGAGCGGAGUGAUGGUGCUUGCACCAUCACUUAGCGGCGGACGGGUGAGUAAUGCUUAGGAAUCUGCCUAUUAGUGGGGGACAACAUCUCGAAAGGGAUGCUAAUACCGCAUACGUCCUACGGGAGAAAGCAGGGGAUCACUUGUGACCUUGCGCUAAUAGAUGAGCCUAAGUCGGAUUAGCUAGUUGGUGGGGUAAAGGCCUACCAAGGCGACGAUCUGUAGCGGGUCUGAGAGGAUGAUCCGCCACACUGGGACUGAGACACGGCCCAGACGCCUACGGGAGGCAGCGGUGGGGAAAAUUGGACAAUGGGGGGAACCCUGAUCCAGCCAUGCCGCGUGUGUGAAGUAGGCCUUAUGGUUGUAAAGCACUUUAAGCGAGGAGGAGGCUCUUUUGGUUAAUACCCAAGAUGAGUGGACGUUACUCGCAGAAUAAGCACCGGCUAACUCUGUGCCAGCCGCCGCAGUAA
rnacentral:rRNA from 1 species